CUGUGCUCCUGGACCAAACUCCUUCAGGACACCCAUGAUUACGUGUGCCCACCAGAUGCUAAGGGAUUACAAAGAACGAAAGGAGGUUACAACUUAGCUAGACAGAAGAAAGGAAGAGUAUACAACACAGCGCAGUCUAGGAACUGGCAGUGCUUCUGUGAAAAAACUCAGAAAUUCUGGCCUGGGAAGACUGCUUGCCUAAGGACCCCUUCCACAAUUACAA